CAUGCCCUACGGGGCACAGCAGUGAGGAAUAUUGGUCAAUGGGCGCGAGCCUGAACCAGCCAAGUCGCGUGAGGGAUGACGGCCCUACGGGUUGUAAACCUCUUUUGCCGGGGAGCAACGGGCGCCACGUGUGGCGCCACUGAGAGUACCCGGAGAAAAAGCAUCGGCUAACUCCGUGCCAGCAGCCGCGGUAAUACGGAGGAUGCGAGCGUUAUCCGGAAUUAUUGGGUGUAAAGGGUGCGUAGACG
rnacentral:rRNA from 1 species